rnacentral:rRNA from 1 species
UUCCGGUUGAUCCUGCCGGAGGUCACUGUUAUCAGGGUUCGACUUAGCCAUGCGAGGCGUGAGUCAUUUGGACUCGCCGAACUGCUCAGUAACACGUAGCUAACUUACUCUUAGCUAGAGGAUAAUCCCGAGAAAUUGGGGCUAAUACUCUAUAGCUGUUAAGUGCUGGAAUGCUUUAACAGCAAAAGCUUUUGCGGCUAAGAAUGGGGCUGCGGCCUAUCAUGGCAGUUGUGAGUGUAAAAUACUCACAAACCUAUAACGGGUAGGGGCCAUGAGAGUGGGAGCCUCGAGAUGUUUUCUGAGACAUGAAAACAGGUCCUACGGGACGCAGCAGGCGCGAAAACUUUCCAAUGCCUUAACGGGUGAGAAGGGAACCCUGAGUGGUUAUACAUUGUAUAACCUUUUGUUUUGCCUAAAAAGCAAGACGAAUAAGUGGUGGGUAAGACGGUUGGCAGCCGCCGCGGUAAUACCCGCGCCACGAAUGGUGACCACGAUUAUUGGGUCUAAAGCGUCCGUAGCCGGUUUAGUAAGUUCUUGGUGAAAUCUGUUAGCUAACUAAUAGGCUUGCUGAGAAUACUGCUGAACUUGGGAUCGGGAUAGGGUGAGGGUAUUCCAUGGGUAGGGGUUAAAUCCUUUAAUCCAUGGAGGACCACCGGUGGCGAAGGCGUUCAUCUGGAACGAGUCCGACGGUGAGGGACGAAAGCUAGGGGAGCAAAUGGGAUUAGAUACCCCAGUAGUCCUAGCCGUAAACGAUGCCCGCUUGAUGUUGCAGGCUCUACGGGAGCUUGCAGUGUUGGAGUGUAGAUGUUAAGCGGGCCAUCUGGGGAGUACGGUCGCAAGGCUAAAACUUAAGGGAAUUGGCGGGAGAGCACACAGAGGUGAGACUGCGGUUUAAUUGGACUCAACGCCGGU